UUGACCUCGGAUCAGGUAGGGAUACCCGCUGAACUUAAGCAUAUCAAUAAGCGGAGGAAAAGAAACCAACAGGGAUUGCUCUAGUAACGGCGAGUGAAGCAGCAAUAGCUCAAAUUUGAAAUCUGGCGUCUUCGACGUCCGAGUUGUAAUUUGUAGAGGAUGCUUCUGAGUGGCCACCGACCUAAGUUCCUUGGAACAGGACGUCAUAGAGGGUGAGAAUCCCGUAUGCGGUCGGAAAGGCGCUCUAUACGUAGCUCCUUCGACGAGUCGAGUUGUUUGGGAAUGCAGCUCUAAAUGGGAGGUAAAUUUCUUCUAAAGCUAAAUAUUGGCCAGAGACCGAUAGCGCACAAGUAGAGUGAUCGAAAGAUGAAAAGCACUUUGGAAAGAGAGUUAAAAAGCACGUGAAAUUGUUAAAAGGGAAGGGAUUGCAACCAGACUUGCUCGCGGUGUUCCGCCGGUCUUCUGACCGGUCUACUCGCCGCGUUGCAGGCCAGCAUCGUCUGGUGCCGCUGGAUAAGACUUGAGGAAUGUAGCUCCCUCGGGAGUGUUAUAGCCUCUUGUGAUGCAGCGAGCGCCGGGCGAGGUCCGCGCUUCGGCUAGGAUGCUGGCGUAAUGGUCGUAAUCCGCCCGUCUUGAAACACGGACCAAGGAGUCUAACAUCUAUGCGAGUGUUCGGGUGUCAAACCCCUACGCGUAAUGAAAGUGAACGGAGGUGAGAACCGCAAGGUGCAUCAUCGACCGAUCCUGAUGUCUUCGGAUGGAUUUGAGUAAGAGCAUAGCUGUUGGGACCCGAAAGAUGGUGAACUAUGCCUGAAUAGGGUGAAGCCAGAGGAAACUCUGGUGGAGGCUCGCAGCGGUUCUGACGUGCAAAUCGAUCGUCAAAUUUGGGUAUAGGGGCGAAAGACUAAUCGA
rnacentral:rRNA from 1 species